rnacentral:lncRNA from 1 species
UUGGGGCUCGACCACCGUUAAGAGCACACCAGUUUCCACUUGGCUGCUAAAAGGAAGGAGGAAGAUGCAAGCAACAGGAGAAUUUUAGACAUCUUUUCAUUAUUUUUAACGUUUUUAUCCCUCUCUUUUUGUGCAUAAACUGUAAGAGCAGAGGUUAAAAUUCCACGUAUAGUUACAGGGAAGAUAGUUUGUAGUUCAAACACCAAUUGGAUCGUAUACCAAAAGAAAAGAUUGUGAAGCUUGUUGCGACAUAGACUUCAGGAAAAAGAGCUCAGAUCACAGAGACCCCAAAAAUUGUUCUCUCAGACCAUCUCUGGUCGACCAUAAUCCAAAAACAUGCACGAUAUCAUCGAUAUACGUAUCGUGUUGUAUAUCUCUAGUACUUGGCCUGAUGAGUCUGCUAGCCAUCUCAACAAUCAAAAUAUGCACAGCCUCGUCCCGUAUCUUGUUAAGGAAAACAAAUAAAGGGAUGAGUUAAAAGUCUAGUGAGAUUCCAAGAAAAUAUAUAAGCAAACUAAUAAGUAUCUCAAAAGUCGCAUUAAGACAUAAUCACGUUUGACAUGUAACAAGAAAUAUCCAGAGAUAUCAUUUAACAGUGAUACGAUCACGUUUUUCAUGGAGCAGACAUGAGCAAACCAAAUAAUAACACGUAGUACAAUCAAUUUUAAAAGAUACGGGAUAGAUACAGGCUUUAGAGGUGGCUCGUACGGGCUUUAGAGGUGACCCCCGUCGCAAGUGGCACUUAGCACUGCACAACACUUAGUUCCGUUCAAUUAUUCAAGAUCAAUCAUCCAUAUUCGGACUCUAAAAGUGCCUCCCGUCUAUUUCGAAUGUAGUAAGACUCUAGAGGUGGCUCUCGUCCAUUUCGAACGGAGCACGUAGCUCCGUUAGAAAUUUAAUAGCAAUAUUCAUAUUCAAACUCUAGAGGUGGCUUCCAUCUAUUUCGGACGUAGCACUUAACUCCGUCAGAAAUUCAAUCAUUACUAGUAUAACGACUUCAAAUCAAGCACAUAUAUAUCUUUCACAUAUAAAUAGAAGGAUAGCGAUAUAGUCAAAUUAAGUCGAGUGCGAUAAAUUAUACACUCGCCUAACCAAUAUUCAAUUCAAGAGAGCUAGCAUUUCAAUCAAUCGAUAAUCUUAUCAAAACAGCAUUUGAAUCAAGUACAAAUCAGACCAUACCAUUGAAACACUCACCAAAUGAAGUGGAUCGUCACACCUCGAUUAUAGGUUUUCCUUCUAACUCACCAUCGACUCCUGAGACAUGCCCAAACUACAAGUACUAAACUUUUCUCCGCUACAAACUUUCACUCCAAAAAUACUAUCUUAGUCAAACCGACUAUAAUAUCACUUAAAAUUCUAGUUUAGAAGAGUUAUCAAAGAAGUAGGUUAAGGUAUAUAUAGUUUUAUAAUCAAAUUCUUGAAAAUAAGGUUGGAAACCAUGUCCUCACUCUCUCAACUACUAUUGAUAGAAAUUGUCACCAAUAUUACUUCAAACUUUUCUCCAAAAAUCAGUGAAUUUAAGUUAUAUAGAUCAUUUUAGAAGCAAAACUCUUAUGAGAUAGUGUAAAUGGGAUUUUAGUCAGAUUUGGAUAAAUUUCUAUUUUAGAGUUUAAAGUUAGACCCUAAAAUCUAAGUACGAGUUUAAGAUAAUUUGAAACAGAAUUUUUAGCACAAUGUGAUUCAUGUUUUCCAUCUAAAGUCCAUUAGUUCUUAGCUUAGAUCUUCUUCAAUUUAACAUGCAUUUUACUAUCAUACUUUCUAGGUUGUUUUAAACUUAAAGUUUGGUCGGAGUUCCCAAAAAAUUUAGAAAAUAGUUUGAAAUCCUCAACCAUUUCAAUCGGUCCAAAACAAACUCAAAUAGCUGACAGCUCGAGUUUCUUUCCCUAAAACUCAAUGUUUCUUGCUCUAGUCAGAGUAAGUAGAAAAUACAAGGUAAAAUGGAGGAUUAUAGAGUGUUCUUGACCAAUAUUUGCACAAUUCCAUUUCACAAUAAUAUUUGCACAAUAGAAAUAACUGGAAGAAAACACAGCCACACUCUUGGAUAUAAAUCAGCAAUUCAGUCAUGUUCAUUUCAAAAAUUUCAUUCAAUCUUCCAAAUUAUCAAACAAGAUCCAUCAUACAAUCACGUAAACACUGAAAUGAGGGCAUGCAGCUUCAAAGUCCAGCAAAACUUUUCAAGAAAUUUCUGUUUUAAAACAAAAUUCUCAACUUUACUCCAUCGAUUCUCAAAUAUCAACAUAAACAAAAGUUUCAGCAAGGUUCCUCCAAAAAUCGGCACUUAUCUCAUUUGGAUUUAAGCAAAACACUACAUGCAUGUCAAGAUAAAAGAGAUAAUAGGUAUGUAAAGUGCUUUUAGAUAGAAUUUAACAAAAUUUUUGAAAAACAAGAACUGAAACUCGUAGCUUUCCUUCUUGAUUUGCUAUCUAGAAAUUUCGGCUUUGAAAAUGCUUUAAAAGUCAAUAUUUUCAUGCUUUUAACUCCUCAAAUAUCACAUACAUGACUAGAUUUAGGUGUUAGCAGGUAUAUAGAGUCAAGAUGUGUCAAUUUACAACUAAAAUUUUAGGGAUAAAGUUGAAAAAAUCACAGCUUCUUCCCCACGGUUCCAACAAAACAAAAUUUCCAAUAAGCAUCAUUUCUUUGAAAAAUCAUAACUCGAAUUAUAAAUUCCAAUAAAUUAUAAAAAUUACCCCCUUAAAAACUAGACUUGAAGUACUAACAAUCUUUAGAAGAUACCUCAAAUAGAUUCAGUUCAUAAAUUGGUCCAAAUUGAGUCGCAAGUUAUUACAACAUUCUAGUUUUUACUUGUGCAAGACAGAAUUUUCAGUUAAUAUUGCCAAUUUUUGGUGUGUUUAUAAAAUGAAGCUCAAAUUUUAUACUUUGAGUCUAGUUUCAAAUGCAAUUAACGGCAUUCAAUUUCGAUUUUUGUACACUAAGUAAUGAUCAUUUUACUAAACCUACCCGGGGAUGAUUGUCACCCUAAAUUUCAACCUUCCACUUGUUUGACAAUACCAAAUACACAGCAUAUCAUUUAUCCAACAUAAAAUGAAGGAAUUAGCAAUAAUCUAGUUCUAUUACAUAUUUGUUUCGGCUAAGCAUUUUACCAAAAAAACUUCACAAAAUUUGUCAUCAACUACCACAAUAACUCUGUCAUCAGCUAAGCAAAAUUUUCAGCAAGAAAAUUGAAACUUUUCUUCACCAAAACUUUCUCUUUUCUGCUCAAAUCUAACUUACAUCCUUAAAGCUUAAAAAGGCAUGGAAGAAGAAAAGAUUUACAGCACUUUUUUACCUUUUUUUUCCCAAGAAAUUGAAGCUGAAAAUUGAAGAAUCAAGACUGACAGCUUUCCACUUUUUUCUUUUCUCUCUCGGCUGCAACAAGAGGGAUGGAGCAAAUUUUCUCCAAUCUUUCUCAAGCUCUUUCCCCUUGGUUGUGAAUUGGUCAUGGUUGAAAUCCCUCAAACUUUCCUAGUUUCUUCCUCAGUUUCAAGACUCAGAAAAGGAACAAAACUUCUCACUCACCACUCAAUUUCUUGGCUGGAAUAAACUUGGAAUAUUGGAGCUUUUCUCUUCUUGAUUUGUUGGGGGAAAAUAGAAGGAGGCAAGGGCUCUCUUGGCUGCAAGACAAGGAAGAAAGGGCAAGAAUUUCAAGCUUUCUCUCUCUCUCUCUCUCUCACUAUUGGCUAGAAGGUUGGAGCAAGACAAGGAAAAAUCUUGCACCUUUCCCUCUAGUCUCUCGGCUGAAACAAGGAAGAAAAACUUUAAUUUUUCUCUCAACUUUGCUUAUUUCUCUCGGCUAAACAAUGGAGAAAGACAAAAGAAAGCUUUCACUAAAGAGGUUUAUGUCUUGUGGUUGAUUACCAACACUUAGCAAAAUUGUCAUCUCUACAUGCC